rnacentral:rRNA from 1 species
AGGGUUUGAUUAUGGCUCAGGACGAACGCCGGCGGCGUGCUUAACACAUGCAAGUCGAACGGUCCUCGCCGAAUAAAACCUUCGGAUUAGAAACGGAGAGAGGAUAGUGGCGGAUGGGUGAGUAACGCGUCAAGAACCUGUCCCUUAGCUUGGGAUAACCUGACGAAAGUCGGACUAAACCCGAAUAAAGUGUCCAAAGAGCAUUCUUGGGACAAAAAAGAUGGGUCAAACCAUCACUAAGGGGUGGCUCCGCGUCGGAUUAGCUAGCUGGUGAGGUAAAGGCUCACCAGGGCAACGAUCCGUAGCUGGUCUGAGAGGACGGACAGCCACACUGGGACUGAGACACGGCCCAGACUCCUACGGGAGGCAGCAGUGGGGAAUACUCCGCAAUGGACGAAAGUCUGACGGAGCAACGCCGCGUGAGUGAAGAAGGCCUUCGGGUCGUAAAGCGCUGUCCUUGGGGAAGAAUGGCCUUAACAGGAAAUGGUUAAGGAGGAGACGGUACCUGAGGAGGAAGCCCUGGCUAACUACGUGCCAGCAGCCGCGGGAACACGUAGAGGGCAAGCGUUGUCCGGAAUUACUGGGGCGUAAAGGGUACGCAGGUGGGAGGAAAAGUCAAGUGUGAAAGGUAUCGGCUUACACCGAUUACAGAGCAAAUGAAACUAUCCUUCUUGAAGGGCAGGAGAGGAGAAGCGGAAUUCCUGGGUGUAGCGGUGGAAUGCGUAGAUUAUCACGAAGAACACCCGGUGGCGAAGGCGGCUCUCUGGCCUGCAACUGACGCUGAGGUACGAAAGCUGGGGGAGCAAACAGGAUUAGAUACCCCCGGUAGUCCCAGCUGUAAACGAUGGACACUAGGUGUGUGGUGGGUUCGAAUCCAUCAGUGCCGGAGUUAACGCGAUAAGUGACCCGCCUGGGGAGUACGGUCGCAAGACUGAAACUCAAAGGAAUUGACGGGGGCCCGCACAAGCGGUGGAGCAUGUGGUUUAAUUCGAUGCAACGCGAAGAACCUUACCGAGACUUGACAUCCCAUGCUAAGCUAUGAAAAUAGCAGUUAGGUUUAUACCUACAUGGAGACAGGUGGUGCAUGGCUGUCGUCAGCUCGUGUCGCGAGAUGUUGGGUUAAGUCCCGCAACGAGCGCAACCCCUAUUCCUAGUUGCCAGCAUGUUAUGGUGGGGACUCUAGGAAGACAGCCGGUGAAAGCCGGAGGAAGGUGGGGAUGACGUCAAGUCCUCAUGCCCUUUAUGUUUCGGGCUACACACGUGCUACAAUGGUUGGUACAGAGGGGAGCGAAGCCGAAAGGCGAAGCAAAUCUCACAAAGCCGAUCUCAGUUCGGUUUGGAGGCUGCAACCCGCCUUCAUGAAGCUGGAAUCGCUAGUAAUCGCAGGACAGCAUACUGCGGUGAAUACGCUCCCGGGCCUUGUACACACCGCCCGUCACACCACCCGAGUUGGAUGCACCAGAAGUCACUUGAGAGUGCCGAAGGUGUGGCUGAUAAGGGGGGUGAAGUCGUAACAAGGUAGCC